CCCACUAGCAUAGUUUCCUUUCCAGGCCAUAUCCUUACACAGAUACCCUAAUUCCUCUCCUAAACGGAUAUGGAAGACCUACACCACUUUCAGAGAAGUCGUAUCAAGAGAACACAUUUGUCUGUACACAGUCACUGAUACCGUUUGUUUGCUAAAGGUCAAUGGCUCAGCAAGAUGAUCCAAAAGGUGUACUGGAAUCUCUGAGGGAAAUGCAAAAAGGUUUUUAGCUACAGUGGAGGUGACUGACCAUGGAACUGCACACAGAUUUUUUUUUAGUUUGUAGAUAUGGGACAGAUCCUGCAAUGCCAUUCCCAUGGGUGGACUUCUUCACUAGGCUUAUGUACUGAACUCUGCAGGCUGAUGUCCACACUGAUAAUUACAACUGCCCACAGUUCACUGUUCCCCAGCUUCCGUGCAUUGAAGCAGAGUGUCUGUGGAGCCGUCUAGGAGACAUGAAACAGGCACCCCAGCAGGGUGAAGGCACCACCAAGACCAACCAAAUACCAGUGUAUACAUGCAAUUAAGAUGACUGAAGGCACAGUGGUCUAAGAACAAAAUUUAAGACUGAGGCCACAAUGAUAGCUCUGGAAGUAUCCAGAAUAUGAAAGGGUAUAUAAAUAGUAAUCAAGACAUAAGUAGAAGAUACAUAUUAUCAUUUCGAGUCUAGGUAUCUGCAGAUUGAUCUCUUAUUUCCCUUCAAACCCUUACCACCAAACCAAUCAAAGAACCCACACAUGCCCUCUACAGAAUGUACUGAUAUAUGGAAACUAACUUUCCCUCCUCCCACCCUUCUU